rnacentral:SRP_RNA from 1 species
GCUGGGCAUAGUGGCGGCUGCCUGUAAUCCCAGCUACUUGGGAGGCUGAGGCAGGAGAACCGCUUGAACCCGGGAGGCGGAGGAUGCAGUGAGCCGAGAUCAUGCCACUGCACUCUAGCCUGGGCAACAGAGUGAGACUCUGUCUCAU